rnacentral:lncRNA from 1 species
ACCUCUAAUGUGUGUGACCCCGUAGGUUCGAACCUAAGCCGGUAGCACAGGAACCAAUUCCUAUACUAAUCAAAGUGACCAUCUAGCAAUGGUACCCAAUAUCCAGAUAGGUCAAAGAGUCACAAUCGCAACACUCAGAACCUACAUGAAUAUGGUUACUGUAUAAUUCAUCCUUUUGACCCCUGUGUUUAGGAUGACUCAGGGUUAAACUGUCAACACUGAUCAGAUCAUCCGAAUCGUGCUCAACUCAAACAGUCCUGUGACUCCUCACAAGAACUACCCUGGCCAAGAUUUUGCUAAAUUGAAAUACGACUGUACAUAGCUCCUAAACUAGAGUGGUCAAUCCCAUCUUGACACACGCAC